rnacentral:rRNA from 1 species
GACGAACGCUGGCGGCGUGCUUAACACAUGCAAGUCGAACGAUGAAGCGGGUGCUUGCACUCGUGGAUUAGUGGCGAACGGGCGAGUAACACGUGAGUAACCUGUCCUUUUCUUUGGGAUAACGGCUGGAAACGGCUGCUAAUACUGGAUAUUCAGGCUGCAUCGCAUGGUGUGGUUUGGAAAGGUUUUUUCUGGGAUUGGGUGGGCUCGCGGCCUAUCAGCUUGUUGGUGGGGUGAUGGCUUACCAAGGCUUUGACGGGUAGCCGGCCUGAGAGGGUGGUCGGUCGCACUGGGACUGAGAUACGGCCCAGACUCCUACGGGAGGCAGCAGUGGGGAAUAAUGCACAAUGGACGAAAGUGUGAUGCAGCGACGCCGCGUGGAGGGUGUAGGCCUUCGGGUUGUUAACUCCUUUUUCUAGCGAAAAAGGCACAGUUUUGGCUGUGUUGAUGGUAGUGGGGGAAGAAGCGCCGGCUAACUACGUG